GAGGAAUAUUGGUCAAUGGACGAGAGUCUGAACCAGCCAAGUAGCGUGAAGGAUGACUGCCCUAUGGGUUGUAAACUUCUUUUAUACGGGAAUAAAGUGAGGCACGUGUGCCUUUUUGUAUGUACCGUAUGAAUAAGGAUCGGCUAACUCCGUGCCAGCAGCCGCGGUAAUACGGAGGAUCCGAGCGUUAUCCGGAUUUAUUGGGUUUAAAGGGAGCGUAGGCGGACGCUUAAGUCAGUUGUGAAAGUUUGCGGCUCAACCGUAAAAUUGCAGUUGAUACUGGGUGUCUUGAGUACAGUAGAGGCAGGCGGAAUUCGUGGUGUAGCGGUGAAAUGCUUAGAUAUCACGAAGAACUCCGAUUGCGAAGGCAGCUUGCUGGACUGUAACUGACGCUGAUGCUCGAAAGUGUGGGUAUCAAACAGGAUUAGAUACCCUGGUAGUCCACACAGUAAACGAUGAAUACUCGCUGUUUGCGAUAUACAGUAAGCGGCCAAGCGAAAGCGUUAAGUAUUCCACCUGGGGAGUACGCCGGCAACGGUGAAACUCAAAGGAAUUGACGGGGGCCCGCACAAGCGGAGGAACAUGUGGUUUAAUUCGAUGAUACGCGAGGAACCUUACCCGGGCUUGAAUUGCAACUGAAUGAUGUGGAGACAUGUCAGCCGCAAGGCAGUUGUGAAGGUGCUGCAUGGUUGUCGUCAGCUCGUGCCGUGAGGUGUCGGCUUAAGUGCCAUAACGAGCGCAACCCUUAUCGAUAGUUACCAUCAGGUUAUGCUGGGGACUCUGUCGAGACUGCCGUCGUAAGAUGUGAGGAAGGUGGGGAUGACGUCAAAUCAGCACGGCCCUUACGUCCGGGGCUACACACGUGUUACAAUGGGGGGUACAGAAGGCAGCUACACGGCGACGUGAUGCUAAUCCCGAAAGCCUCUCUCAGUUCGGAUUGGAGUCUGCAACCCGACUCCAUGAAGCUGGAUUCGCUAGUAAUCGCGCAUCAGCCACGGCGCGGCGAAUACGUUCCCG
rnacentral:rRNA from 1 species